rnacentral:rRNA from 1 species
UACGUAGGUGGCAAGCGUUGUCCGGAUUUACUGGGCGUAAAGGGCGUGCAGGCGGUUUGUUAAGUCUAGGGUGAAAACUCCCGGCUCAACUGGGAGAGGUCCUUGGAUACUGGCAGACUUGAGGAGGGUAGAGGAGAGUGGAAUUCCCGGUGUAGUGGUGAUAUGCGUAGAUAUCGGGAGGAACACCAGUGGCGAAGGCGGCUCUCUGGGCCCUACCUGACGCUGAGACGCGAAAGCGUGAGGAGCGAACCGG